CCUACGGGUGGCAGCAGUGGGGAAUAUUGGACAAUGGGGGCAACCCUGAUCCAGCCAUGCCGCGUGUGUGAAGAAGGCCCUCGGGUUGUAAAGCACUUUCAGUGAGGAAGAACGCCUGGUGGUUAAUACCUAUCAGGAAAGACAUCACUCACAGAAGAAGCACCGGCUAACUCCGUGCCAGCAGCCGCGGUAAUACGGAGGGUGCGAGCGUUAAUCGGAAUUACUGGGCGUAAAGCGCGCGUAGGUGGCUUGAUAAGCCGGUUGUGAAAGCCCCGGGCUCAACCUGGGAACGGCAUCCGGAACUGUCAAGCUAGAGUGCAGGAGAGGAAGGUAGAAUUCCCGGUGUAGCGGUGAAAUGCGUAGAGAUCGGGAGGAAUACCAGUGGCGAAGGCGGCCUUCUGGACUGACACUGACACUGAGGUGCGAAAGCGUGGGUAGCAAACAGGAUUAGAUACCCUAGUAGUC
rnacentral:rRNA from 1 species